AUUUACAGCUCCAAAGUAACAGCCUAAAACGAAAACUUUUAACAAUAAACUUUAAUAACUUUUUAUGCUCAUCUGAGAUUUUUGGACACUUUUUAUCACUUGUUAAUAAUGAUGAUCUCAGGCUCUGUACCAAUUUUCUUCAAUUUCACGAGUUUUAUGUCUUUUCUGAAUGGGGACUAUUUAGUUCAGUUCGUAAAAUGCAAACAUUGAAAUUGAUUCAUUUUGUGUUUUUCCCCCAUCGAUCGAUGGAAAUGAUCACGGCCAACAACAACAACAAUACGUUUUUGCAUUGCUUUUAUAGACAACUAAACGCAAAGUUGGUUUUAUUGCUUUAGUGUUUAGUCAUAUCAUUUCAUAUACAUUAAUUUAGGCAGACAAAAUACAGAUACAGAACAAAGAUUCUCCCUCCGGCCUUCGAAUAGUGAACAUUUUAGUAUUAUUACUGAUAACUUUAUUUAGCUAAAACAUAUUUGGGAAUCAGACAAAAACAAAUACCAACUCUCGCUACAUCAUGGUGAAUGGUUUGCAAUUAAUUGCGGACAUGCUGCAUUUGGUAGCAAUAAUUAUUUUGCUGCUGAGAAUCUGUGUGAAAACGUCAUGUGCGGAUGUGUCUAUCAAAUCGCAAAUUCUCUUCUGUAUCGUCUAUUGUGCCCGAUAUAUGGACUUGUUCACGGUUUACAUUUCGACCUACAACUCGGCGAUGAAAAUUGGUUACAUUGGAGUUUCCCUAUUGACAAUUUUAUUGAUUCAUCUUAAAUCUAGGAACAACAACGAAAACGCCAGCCAUCAUGAUUCUUUUCGCAUUGAAUUUCUUGUGGUUCCAUGUGCCUUGUUGGCACUGUUCGUGAAUCAUGAAUUCACUUGCUUGGAGGUUUUGUGGACAUUCUCGAUCUAUUUGGAAGCUGUGGCAAUUUUACCACAAUUCUUUUUAAUAUGCAAAAUUGGCAAAGCCGAACGCCUAACCGUAUGUUAUCUUGUCGUGCUUUGGUUGUAUCGAGUAUUUUAUCUGACCAAGUGGGGUGUUAAAUAUGUCAACGAGGGAUCUUUUGAUUUUGUUUCUGUCCUCGGUGGUAUUGUUCAGACUUCAAUUUAUAUUGCAUUUUUGUUUUAUUUUAUUAUCAACAUUUCGAGGGGAAAGAAUCUUGCUAGCAACUUAAUCAAUUCUCCUUUAACAUUGAGCAGUGAAGAUAAUCUUAAAGAGAAAGCAACAUCGGCAUCUGUAUAUUGUAUUCCAAUUAUACCAGAUCAUUCGAUAUCUCAUAACAUUGAUAUCAAAAAAGUUUUAAAGCAGUAAUUUGUUCGACAUAUAAAUGUUAAAUCUCUUGUUGAAUGGGCUAACCUGGAUAUGUGGAUUUUUAAUUGGAUACCUAAAUUGGGAUAGUUGGCAAAACAGUAAAAACAAGUUUCAGCUGUUGACAAACAUUAACAUUGAUUUCGAAGUCCAAAAUAUUUUAGAACAAAACGGAUGAUUCACCGGAUUUUUACCAAAAAACAUACAAAUUUGAAAUAAAUUUUGAAGUUCCUUCGCACAUUCAACCAUUAUGUUGUAUCAGCGGUUCUGUCAGAUACUAACAUGUACCAGAAAUUAUUGUAUAGACUUGGAUUCCUCUUUUGACAUACGAGCUGUCUGAUAAACGCAAAAAAACAAAAACCAAAAGAUAACCGGAUACCCUAUCUAUUUGAAAUUGAACGCAGCCGAUGAUACAUGACAAAUUUAGUUAGUUUAGAUAGAUAGAUACUUUAUUUUUUCAUAGAUUAAGGCUUUACAAAAAUUUGCGUAGUACGCAGCUUGCACAGAGAUAUGACAAAUUUAAAUUUAUCCACAUACACCCUUGUUUUUAUAACUAUUUUGUAUCUAUGUAUGUAUGUACAUAUAUUUUUUUUUAAUUUUUAUUAAAUAUUUGUACAAUUGUAAA